UGGGGAAUUUUGGACAAUGGGCGAAAGCCUGAUCCAGCAAUGCCGCGUGUGUGAAGAAGGCCUUCGGGUUGUAAAGCACUUUUGUCCGGAAAGAAAUCCUUGGCUCUAAUACAGUCGGGGGAUGACGGUACCGGAAGAAUAAGCACCGGCUAACUACGUGCCAGCAGCCGCGGUAAUACGUAGGGUGCAAGCGUUAAUCGGAAUUACUGGGCGUAAAGCGUGCGCAGGCGGUUUGCUAAGACCGAUGUGAAAUCCCCGGGCUCAACCUGGGAACUGCAUUGGUGACUGGCAGGCUAGAGUAUGGCAGAGGGGGGUAGAAUUCCACGUGUAGCAGUGAAAUGCGUAGAGAUGUGGAGGAAUACCGAUGGCGAAGGCAGCCCCCUGGGCCAAUACUGACGCUCAUGCACGAAAGUGUGGGGAGCAAACAGGAUUAGAUACCCUGGUAGUCCACGCCCUAAACGAUGUCAACUAGUUGUUGGGGAUUCAUUUCCUUAGUAACGUAGCUAACGCGUGAAGUUGACCGCCUGGGGAGUACGGUCGCAAGAUUAAAACUCAAAGGAAUUGACGGGGUCAUAGCUGUUUCCU
rnacentral:rRNA from 1 species